rnacentral:rRNA from 1 species
AGUGAACGCUGGCGGUAGGCCUAACACAUGCGAGUCGAACGGCAGCACAGUAAGAGCUUGCUCUUACGGGUGGCGAGUGGCGGACGGGUGAGGAAUACAUCGGAAUCUACUUUUUCGUGGGGGAUAACGUAGGGAAACUUACGCUAAUACCGCAUACGACCUACGGGUGAAAGCAGGGGAUCUUCGGACCUUGCGCGAUUGAAUGAGCCGAUGUCGGAUUAGCUAGUUGGCGGGGUAAAGGCCCACCAAGGCGACGAUCCGUAGCUGGUCUGAGAGGAUGAUCAGCCAGACUGGAACUGAGACACGGUCCAGACUCCUACGGGAGGCAGCAGUGGGGAAUAUUGGACGAUGGGCGCAAGCCUGAUCCAGCCAUACCGCGUGGGUGAAGAAGGCCUUCGGGUUGUAAAGCCCUGUUGUUGGGAAAGAAAAGCAGCAGGUUAAUACCCCGCUGUUCUGACGGUACCCAAAGAAUAAGCACCGGCUAACUUCGUG